UUAACAUUUGAGGGGUAACCCAUGCUCCCCUCGUUUCCACAAAACAGUGAGAAAAAAAAAAGGUUCUGAUCGGUUGCACAAACAAAUAUAAAUCCUUUUGUGUUUUCUAGUCUGACAUCAUUGAUCUUUUUCUUGUUUCCCAUGGCCAAUAGCUUAAACGAUUUAGCGAUUACACGGUGAUGAAAUCCACUUGAAACCUGGUUGGUCAAAUCAUUCGACUACUACACGAGCGAUCGCCAUGCCGUGUCCAGACUCGUCUUAAUGUUGUUGGGAUGAUGUUUUUGGAUGUUGAGGAUCUACCACGUCCUAUGGUAACCAAUAUUUUGUGUACGCAUUUAAACUUAAUAGUUGCACAGAAUUUCCAUAAAAUUCAAAAGAACAGAACAGCUGGUUUAGUUGAAGACAAUCCCAAAAUUUCUGGGAACGAAAAACGACAACAAAUUUCGUCUGCACAGAGAAAAGGCCGUUGUGGUGAUAGUUACUUGAAUUAUUACCGAGAAGAAACCCGACGACGAGAAUUACCCAUAGACCUACGUCGCCUCUGGUUGGCCUAUUCUCCCCAAAAAGAGACGCAAGAAGAAGAACAACAGCAGCAGUGUGUAGUCAGAUCUGAUUUAUGUUUCAUGAACGUUAGAUUGGAUCGGAAAGUCUCGAAGCCAGAAAGAAGAAAAACAAAAGGAGACAAGAAUAACAACGUUCAUCACAACAGAAAAGUUCAGCACUGGAAUGUUUUGGUGCUGUUGUUGUUGUGAGCCACUAAUUGAAAAUGAUAAAAGACAGUAGAGAA